UGUAGACCUUCUAUAACCAUCCCAGACCUUAUAUCCACUUAGACCCUAUCGGAUCACAUAUAGAUCCCUGUAGACCUUAUAUCCACUUAGACCCUAUCGGAUCACAUAUAGAUCCCUGUAGACCUUAUAUCCACUUAGACCCUAUCGGAUCACAUAUAGAUCCCUGUAGACCUUCUAUAACCAUCCCAGACCUUAUAUCCACUGAGACCCUAUCGGAUCACAUAUAGAUCCCUGUAGACCUUCUAUAACCAUCCCAGACCUUAUAUCCACUUAGACCCUAUCGGAUCACAUAUAGAUCCCUGUAGACCUUCUAUAACCAUCCCAGACCUUCUAUAACCAUCCCAGACCGUAGUCCCUCCGAUGGGCAUUCCAUGUAUUUUGGUGGAAUGGCAAGGCAAUGAUGUGUAGACUUUUCUCCACGUCAUACUGCGGUAGGGCAUUACGUUAUGUCCUUUUACGCUGGCAGUCCAGUUCUUAUCUUUUACCCAAUAAUUGGCAAAAUAUCAAUUAGGUGGCAAAAGAUCAGAACUGGGCUGCCUGUGUAAAGGUAGCCAGAGGACUUCUGAAAGACACCCGGCAUAGAGACGAAUGUUCAGGUGUCUACAAUGGAUCGUGGCAGACAGGUAGGUGUGACAGAAAGGACAGAACACCACCCCCCUCAGGUGAGAGAACACAAACACCUCAGGUGAGACAGAACACCCCCCCCUCAGGUGAGAGAAUAAACACCUCAGGUGAGACAGAACACACACACACCCCUCAGGUGAGACAGAACACACACACACACCUCAGGAGAGACAGAACACACACACACCCCUCAGGUGAGACAGAACACACACACACACCUCAGGUGAGACAGAACACACACACCUCAGGAGAGACAGAACACACACACACACACCUCAGGUGAGACAGAACAAACACACACCUCAGGUGAGACAGAACACACACACACCUCAGGAGAGACAGAACACACACACACACCUCAGGUGAGACAGAACAAACACACACCUCAGGUGAGACAGAACACACACACACACACACACCUCAGGUGAGACAGAACACACACACACCUCAGGUGAGACAGAACACACACACACACCUCAGGUGAGACAGAACACACACACACACCUCAGGUGAGACAGAACACACACACACACCUCAGGUGAGACAGAACAAACACACACCUCAGGUGAGACAGAACACACAGGCCGCUUCCCAAUUGGCUCAUAGGUCUCUGAUGUAAAGUUGUGCACUAUAAAGGGAAUAAGGUGUUAUUUGGGAAGCAGACGGAUAUAUAGGUCAUAUCUAAAGGUACUGUACUACUGUAUCCAGGCAGGGACAAGGUUACACUGGGAUGUUGUGAUAUAUAGGUCAUAUCUAAAGGUACUGUACUACUGUAUCCAGACAGGGACAAGGUCACACUGGGAUGUUGUGAUAUAUAGGUCAUAUCUAAAGGUACUGUACUACUGUAUCCAGACAGGGACAAGGUCACACUGGGAUGUUGUGAUAUAUAGGUCAUAUCUAAAAAGGUACUGUACUACUGUAUCCAGACAGGGACAAGGUCACACUGGGAUGUUGUUAUAUAUAGGUCAUAUCUAAAGGUACUGUACUACUGUAUCCAGACAGGGACAAGGUUACACUGGGAUGUUGUGAUAUAUAGGUCAUAUCUAAAGGUACUGUACUACUGUAUCCAGGCAGGGACAAGGUUACACUGGGAUGUUGUGAUAUAUAGGUCAUAUCUAAAAAAAAAACCUAACACCUCACCUGUCCUGUCCAAACUAACACCUCACCUGUCCUGUCCAAACUAACACCUCACCUGUCCUGCCCAAACUAACACCUCACCUGUCCUGCCCAAACUAACACCUCACCUGUCCUGCCCAAACUAACACCUCACCUGUCCUGCCCAAACUAACACCUCACCUGCCCUGUCCAAACUAACACCUCACCUGUAUCAGAGGUUGCCCAUCCAUCCUACAGCUGUCUUCUCUAAUAUGGACAUCAACUGUGUUAUAAGAUAUUUGUGUUUUUAUUGGCUGAUAAAGUCCUGUAAUGAGAUAACAAGCAACCUGAACAGAAAACCACUAGGUUUUGGAUAUCUGAGUGGAUCGAGAGGCUUUGAGCCUUGAGGAGAACCAGAAAGUGAAGACUCACUAUAUCAUUUUUGUUCCCUGUAACAGGGGGAGAGACAUGGGAAUCAUUCAACAGGUGAAGGGGGGAGAGAGGGGAAGAGACAUGGGAUUCAUUUAACAGGUGAAGGGGGAGAGAGGGGAAGAGAAUCAUUUAACAGGUGAAGGGGG
ensembl:lncRNA